rfam:Clostridium sp. CAG:964 genomic scaffold, scf81
AACUUAUCAAGAGUGACUGAGGGACAGGCCCUGUGAAGUCCGGCAACCUGCAUUAUGGCAAGGUGCCAAAUCCUGCGGUUAAGCCGAGAGAUGAGAU